AUGGCGGGAGCAGAGGCCGCAGCGGAUACGUCGGGCCCGCGGUUCGCCCCCGACGACCCGACGCUGCCGGCGCCGUGGAAGGCGCUGAUGGACGGCGCGACGCUCUACUACUGGAACCCCGAGACCAACGUGACUCAGUAUGACAAGCCGGGCGCGCCUGCGCUGGCGCCUGUGCCGGUGCCGGGGGCUUUUGCGCAGCAGCCCGGGCAGGUGGCGCAGCAGCAGCAGCAGCCCCAACAGACGGCGCACCAGCAGCAGCUCCAACAGACAGCACAGCAGCCACCGUUUCAGUAUCAACCUCAGCAAGCACAGCAGGUGCCCUAUCAGCAGCAGCAGCAACAGCCGCCGCAGCAAGAGCAGAUGCCGAACCAGCAGGGGCCGCAGCAGCCACUAGCUCCUCAGUAUCCAAACAUGCAUCCGCAGCAGCCGACACCGUACCAGCAUGGUCCUUACAUGCAGCCCCAUCAACAGCAGCAGCAGCAGCAAUACUCGUAUCAGGUGGGCCAGCAGCCGCAAAUGCAGCAAAAUCCCUACAAUCAAGGUCAGCAGCAGCCGAUUCCGCAAGCUGCUAACCAAGGGCAGCAGCCAACGAUGCCACCGGGUGGCUACAACCAAGGGCAGCAGCAGCCGACGAUGCCGCCGGGCGCCUACAAUCAAGGUCAGCGUCCACCGAUGCCUCAAGGUGCCUACGGUCAUGGUCUGCGGCCGCCCAUGCCACAGUCUGCCUACAAUCAGGGCCAGCAGCCACAGAUGCCGCAGCAUGCUUCUUACAAUCAAGGCCAGCAGUUGCAGGGAAUAAGGAUGCCUCAAAGUCAGCCGCAACAAUCACCAGGCUUCCAUCAACCUGUCCAGGCGCCACAGGUGCUGCAAGCUCCACAGUCUCAAGGCCUUCAAAUGUCCCCUCCACAGGGCCAACUCCAGCAUGGCUUCCCAUUCACCCCUCAGCCACAGCAUGGCCAUGUUGGUGCCCAUAUCAGCCAGUUGUCGCAUGGGCAACAAAGUAGCGAGGUGAAGGGCGAUGCAGGAGGUCUUGAAGGAAAGCAGACUGGCUUUUCGUUACCACUUAGUCAGCAGCGUGGCCAAGUUCCUCUUCCAAAUCAGCAGUUGCCUUAUAGUCAUCAACGUCCUGAGGCCCAUAGUCAACUGAAUAUUCAUGGAGUUGGAGGGCCAGCAUUUCCUGCAAAGCACCAUCUUGGUGGGUUAUCCCCACGCGAGACUAACAACGCUAGUUUUUCCAGCUCGCCUGCUCACAUACAUCAAGGUGGACUGGAUACGAACUACCGGCAACAACUGCCUAGCAGCCAUGUAGCUCCCAAUCAUAUUGCUCCUUCACCAGGUCGACCUCCAGUGGGUUUCAAGAGGGGCAAUAGUGAAGAUCAGUUUGAAAAACACGAGCCUCACUCUUCUGGGAGGUUUGAUGGAAUAAAUGCUCCCCAUCAACAGCCAAAACUUGCCGCUCUUCCGCCUUCCCAAAAUCACCUGCAGGAUACGAGGAACGGCCCACCAUAUCCUCAGCCCGAUAACUUUAGUGGUUAUAACAUGGCACCUCCACAUUUAGUACAAAACCCACUUAACAAUGGUCCGUUUCCUGUCGGAGCUUUAACGAGACCACCACCCGGAACAUUUCCUCCUCCGGAUUUCCCUAGUGUUGCUUCAGUUGAUGCAUAUCGUCAGCACCAUGAAGUCACGGCAGUGGGUGAGAAUGUUCCUCCUCCGUUUAUGACAUUUGAGGCUACUGGAUUCCCUCCAGAGAUACUGAGAGAGGUCCACGCUGCUGGCUUCUUAAACCCCACUCCGAUUCAGGCUCAAACAUGGCCUGUUGCACUUCAAAACCGGGAUAUAGUAGCUAUUGCCAAGACAGGAUCAGGGAAGACACUGGGAUACCUUAUUCCUGCUUUUGUACAUCUGAGUAGAUGCCAAAACAAUCCAAUGUUGGGUCCUACAGUGUUGGUUUUGGCGCCUACACGUGAGCUUGCUUCACAGAUACAAGAUGAAGCAAUUAAGUUUGGUCGAUCAUCUAGAGUAUCAUGCACUUGCCUGUAUGGAGGAGCUCCAAAGGGCCCUCAGCUUAGAGAACUUGAGCGUGGAGCUGAUAUUGUGGUUGCUACACCGGGACGACUAAAUGAUAUUCUGGAGAUGAGGAAGAUAAGCCUCCAUCAGAUUUCAUUACUUGUGCUUGAUGAAGCUGACCGCAUGCUUGACAUGGGUUUUGAGCCACAAAUACGGAAGAUUGUGGAUGAGAUUCCUCGUAGUAGACAGACUCUGAUGUACACCGCCACUUGGCCAAAGGAGGUUACAAAAAUAGCUGGUGAUUUAUUGAGAGAUCCUGUCCAGAUCAAUAUUGGAAGCAUUGAUGAACUUGUUGCCAACAAAUCCAUCACACAGUAUGUGGAGAUGGUUCCACCAAUGGAUAAGCAACACCGUUUAGAGCAGAUUCUUAGAGCUGAAGAAAGGGGUUCAAAGAUCAUCAUAUUUUGCUCAACAAAGAAAAUGUGUGACCAGCUUGCUCGUGGCAUUGGUCGUAGUUUUGGCGCUGCAAGCAUUCACGGUGAUAAAUCGCAGGUUGAAAGGGAUCAGAUUCUCAAUCAGUUUCGGACUGGUCGUGUUCCAGUAUUAGUAGCCACCGAUGUUGCUGCUCGUGGACUUGACAUCAAAGACAUUAGGGUGGUGAUCAAUUAUGACUUUCCAACUGGGAUCGAAGACUAUGUGCAUCGCAUAGGGCGCACAGGAAGGGCUGGGGCUACUGGAGUUGCAUACACUUUCUUCUCUGAGCAAGAUUGGAAAUAUGCUGGUGAUUUGGUCAAAGUCUUGGAGGGUACUAGUCAGGAGGUACCUCCAGCGCUGCAACAGAUGGCUGCACGGGGUGCACCCGGAGGUCCAAGAAACCAGGCUGGUGGCAUGAGCCGUUGGGAUGGUCCUGGUGGUGGUAAUCGUUUUGAAUCUGCCGCUGGCGGCCCUGGUGGUUACGGUGGAAUUAGGGAGGUCCCUGGGGCCUUUGGUGGUCGGGAUGGCCCAGGUGGAUUUGUUGAUCGGGGUGGCCCAGGUGGAUUUGUUGAUCUAGAUGGCCCCGGACGCUUCGCUGGCCGGGAGGGCCCUGAUGGCUUCGGUGGUCGGGAUGGCCCUGGUGGCUUUGGUGGACGCAUGGGUCCUGGUGGAUUUGGGGGACGGGAGGGUCCUGGUGGAUUUGGUGGACGGGAGGGUCCUGGUGGAUUUGGUGGACGUGAUGGUCCUGGAGGAUUUGGUGGACGGGAGGGUCCUGGACCCAGUGGCUUCAGUGGGAGAGGGGGCCGUGGGCCUGAUGGCUUUAGCAGGCGAGGUGGAGGAAGUCCUGGUAGAUUUGGUGGUAGCGGUGGCAGGGGCGAUUCUCCUGGUUUUGGUGGACGUGGUAGGGGUGAUUCUUCUGGUUUUGGUGGACGAGGCCGGGGUGAUUUCUCUGGUGGACGUGGUGGAAGAGGGCGUGGAUUUGGAGGACGGGGGCGUUCUGACCGAGGCCCACAUGAUCGUUUCAUCUCAGAUGGACGUGGACGAUAUGAUGAUCGUCGAGGAUUUGGUGACAAGGGUCGGGGCAGGAGCUACAGCCGUAGCCCAGAUAGAGGCCGCUCGCGAGGCUAUGAUAGAAGAAGUGAUAGCAGGAGCCUAAGUAGUAGGAGCAGAAGCCGUAGCAGAAGCUGGUCACGCAGCAGGAGCCGCAGCAGGAGUUGGUCACGUAGCCGGAGUCGCAGCAGGAGCAGGAGCCGGAGCCGUGAUCAGGGUGCAGGGCCAGAACGCAGGCCACGGGCAAGAUCUGGCUUUGAUGUGCCGCCACCUGCAACUGAAGCAGGACCUGUUUUAGCUGCGCCUGUACCUGUACCUGGACCAGUAGCUGAUGUUGCUGCACUCAAACCUGGACAAUCGCUCGCCGAUGCAUCUGAUAUGUCACCUAUGUCGCCUGGUGGCUUGGUCCAGGUCCAGGAGGGUGGACCAUUCAUGGGCGGGGGCGAUGCCAACGUCAGCAGCGCGCAAGCUGACCAGCCUUCCCAAGGGAAAGAUCUUGUAGUACCGCCAAGCUUUUCUGCAGCUGAAAAUUUUCCAGGUGCUGCAGUUCAGCAGGAUGCCCCAUGAUGUCAGCUGGAGUCCCUCAAAAUGAUGACUAGGGGUGACUAGGAGGAUAACUUAUGCACCGUCAGAAUAUUAUUACAUUUUCCUAGCUUUUACUUCCCAAGUUCUAGGUGGUGCAAUGAACAUAAUCCAACCAAGUUAAGGUGAUGCAGUGCCUAUGGCAAGGAUAGACGCAGUGGCACCUAUGGUCCUUGUGUUGAUAGCCGUUCUGAAAACAUUGAUGUAAUUGCAAAGGUUGUCAUUUGUGGAACCAAUUCUAUUCCUGUUCUCCAGACUUGUACCUAUUAUGCAGGUGUCUGAUUAUCCCGGACUCCUGUUCGAUUGUCACACCCUUGUUGGUCGGAUUUUUUUUUUUUUUUUUUGCCUUCUACGGUAUUGAUGAUUGGUCUAUGUUAUGUAAAUUUUCCCCUAGAAGCAGCUGGAUAAAUGCUGGAAGAUUUGAGAUAUUAUUUCCGGUUUGUGCCGUGCUGUUCUGAUUGUACAAUUCUUUGCUCUUGAUGAUUGCUUUUGCCGGUUUGUUUCUAUAUUUCUGGUAUAAUGAUCAGAUUGCACUGUUGUCAAUUGACAUCUUUUAUCUCUUAA